AGAAUCAACGCUGGCGGCGCGCUUAACACAUGCAAGUCGCACGAGAAAGUGGAGCAAUCCAUGAGUAAAGUGGCGUACGGGUGAGUAACACGUGGAUCAUCUACCUUUUAGUGGGGAAUACCCCUGGGAAACCGGGGACAAUACCGCAUAAUCCCGUGAGGGGAAAGCAGCAAUGCGCUGAAAGAGGAGUCCGCGGCUGAUUAGCUAGUUGGCGGGGUAACGCCCACCAAGGCGAAGAUCGGUA
rnacentral:rRNA from 1 species